GUCAGACUCUUUUCCGUACCAAUAGUGAAUGUGAGUAGUUCCGAGGUGGAUUGCUCUGAAGAUUCCAGGGAUGUCUAUUGGUCCCCAAGACCUCAAACAUUUCCUGAUCUAUUUCAGUAACCAGCAAUGGUUCACUUUGGUGCAUUAGAGAAGUUGACACAUAUCUGGUGAUAGACCAGUUGAUUGCAGAACACUCAGACUUUAAAACUUUUUCCACUCUAUGAGUUUGCCUUUAAAAC